UAUCGAUAUUUGAAGCGAAAAAUAAGCUCUCGCAUAUUUGUACUUAUUUUCAUGCAAUAAGAUUUCUUAGCCAAGUCGAUCAUACGUUUACGAUGUAACAAUAGCUUUUAUAUGUGUGACUGUAUUACGAACCAAUUCCAAACUAUGGACAUUUUCCAAUUAAUAGGUGAUCUUUUACAUCUUUUGGCGGUGAAAUUGUAUUGCCCAUAAAGAUAUGGACAUCAAAAAACGUCGCAGUAUUUGAUUUUUUGUUACCUGCUUUAGGUGUAUCUGGCGUAACGCAAAUAUUUCAUUGCCUCGUCUUCACUACUAGAUACCUAGUAGAUUUGUUCUUUUUUUCCUACAUCUCAGUUUAUGAUAUCUCCUACAUCUCAGUUUAUGAUAUCGCAAUGAAAAUCACGUUCAUUUCAACAGCCUACUUGACAGUUUAUCUCAUAUAUGUGAAGUUUAAAGAUUCGCAAAGUCGUAAAGAAGAUUCCUCCUGGAUAACGUUUUGGACAAUUAUAUGCAUUGCUGUGAUAUUCUCCUUAACUGAUCACUAUUAUAAUGGAAAUCAGUUAAUUUCAGAGAUACCUUGGGCAUUCAGCAUAUAUCUCGAGGCAAUGGCCAUAAUACCUCAAUCAGUCAUGGUAUUCAAGAUUAAAAAUAAAUCAGGCAAAAUUCGAAAUUUCAUAUUUUACUACAUUUUUUUGAUGAGCUUCUAUGGAUAUUUUUAUGCACUGCACUGGACGUACAGAUAUUAUUGCGAAAGGACUAUUUUUAGUGAAUUGCCAUUUUGUAGAUCAGAAGAAAAAGUUGUCGAUGUAAAUAUUUGAGAUAGAAAAAUUAUAGAGGUAAGUAUUCAUAGUACAUACAUACCUAUUUAAAAAAUCAUUUUCAAAGAUUCUGAUACUAUAGCGUAGGAUGAAUUACUUAUCUGAUUUCCAAGUCAUUUGAUUAAAAAUAUUUCAAUUUUGCAGCAAUAUCUUGGGCAAUAAUACCUACCUACCUACUUAUUCAAUUAUUGUACAAAAGUCCAACUUUGUUUUGAAAAAAUUUUCAUUUUAUUGUUUUAUCAAUUAUAUGUACCUACUUAGCUUGACUUUCUUUUUUAGAUUGCCUAAUAACUACCGAUCAGCUGCCCAACUUCAUAUCUCGAAUUCUCGAUAUUUGGCGAACGUUCAAAAAAUUCAAAAUUGACUGUUUUUCAAAAUAAAAAUACCUAUCCAAAAAUCAAGAAUUUCCCAUUUGCGUGAAAGUUUUUGAAAUUUGCGCGAUGAACUAACCCCACGAGGGCGAUUUACGCCAUUUCCAGCCAUUCUGGAGCCUCCAGCGUUUUCGAUAUAUCACUCGACUUUUUGCGAUUUUUCAAUAAGUUCAUAUUCGUAUUCAGCGACCUCGAAAACAUACUCUUCGAUAUAUCGCACGUCCAGAUUCGUUUUUCGAAUACAUGAUUCAGUUGUGUGUUACUUGAAAAAUCAAGCACCCCCCACCAACCCCCGGGGAGGGUUGAAGACCAAUCAAUGGUGGUUUGAUUAGUAGUUGGGUGUGUAGACUUUGUAAAAAAAAAUUGAGCGAAAACGAAUAAUAUUAGGUGGUAAUUUUGAUUAUAUUUACUGGACUUACAUUUUUUUGAAACACCUAAUCUUUCCAUCCCUCUUUUUAGGCACCCCCCUUGAGGGAUGGGUAUCGAGAGUAGUAUCAAAUUAUCGAGAAUUUGAAGGGGAACAUUUUUUGUCAUGGUAGUUUUUAUCGUAAACUUUGUAUUUACGGAGUAAAACGCAAAAAACGUGAAUCGCAACCGGUUUUAGCCCCCUAAAAAAAUUAUAGCUCCAGGGGUAGGAGGGUUGUUUUUUUUUUUGGUAUUUCAGGGGGUUCAUCUGAACACAUUCCCGAAAAAAAAAUUGAUGUGCCAAUUUUUUCCUUUUCGCACUCGUUUUUUUACAUUAUUUUCCCGCUCUAAUUAUGGAUAUCGCAAAUUCGAUGUUGUGAAAGAAAAAUUGGACAUAUUAUUAAAAUUAAAAAUAAGACAGUCAAGUAAUAAAUAGGU